rnacentral:rRNA from 1 species
CUUGCUAAGUUUGAUGGCGACCGGCGCACGGGUGAGUAACACGUAUCCAACCUGCCGAUGACUCGGGGAUAGCCUUUCGAAAGAAAGAUUAAUACCCGAUGGCAUAGUUCUUCCGCAUGGUGGAACUAUUAAAGAAUUUCGGUCAUCGAUGGGGAUGCGUUCCAUUAGGUUGUUGGCGGGGUAACGGCCCACCAAGCCUUCGAUGGAUAGGGGUUCUGAGAGGAAGGUCCCCCACAUUGGAACUGAGACACGGUCCAAACUCCUACGGGAGGCAGAUG